rnacentral:lncRNA from 1 species
CCCUCUCUCUUUUUAACUAUUUCUUUGCAUGCUAUAGGACUGAUUUCGGGGUGAAUCUAAGAGAGGAGGAGAUAUGGGCAUCAACUUCAGACUAUUUUCAGAGAGGCUGGGACGGGUGUUAGCUGGUGAAGAAGUCACGUUGCCUGAUGCUGCAAAACAACCUAUUCAGAACCUUCAUGCCGAGACUGAAAUCGUUACUUCUUGGCUGAGGGAAUUUGAAAAUGAAACUUCCUGGCUUAUGGUGGAAAAGAUCGGAGAAGAGGAAAUUGAUGACCUAGAUCUGGCGACCGUUAUGGAUGAAAUCAAUUGCUUUACGUAUGAAUCUGAGAGGGUCAUUGACACAUUCAUCAACAGCAUCACUCAACAGAAGAGUCAAAGCAGCUGCAGCAAGGACAUUUUUUAUGCUCUGCAAGGACUCCAAAGCAGAAUCACUAAGAUUAAGCAACGGGUUCAACAACUUAAGCACAUCGAUCCCGAAAUCAUGGAUGACUUCAGAAGUGUUGAAGCUGAAUCCGGUUAUUUUCCUGCAUCUUCAUCUUCUAAGAAUAGGAACACGGUGGGCCUAGAUGAUAGAAUGGAGGAGUUGUUAGAUCUAUCGAUCGAGGGACCAACUCAGCUUUCGGUGGUGGCCAUACUCGAUAGCAUUGGGUUGGACAAGACGGCUUUCACUGCGGAGGCUUACAACAGCAGUUAUGUGAAGCAUUAUUUUGAUUAUCUCACUUGGAUUCCAGCGCCUUAUCAAUAUGACCCUGACCAAAUAUUAGAUAUUGUUACUGUGAUUCUAUUGCUUUUUUCUAUGUUGAGUAAAAUAAAGGAUAAAGAUUAUGAAAUGAAAAAAAUUAUUCUUGGUGAAUAUCUAAUGACUAAGCGGUAUUUGAUUGUGCUUGAUGAUGUGUGGAGCACAGAGCUAUUUGAUGCUAUUCGAGAAAUCCUUCCGGAUAAUCAGAAUGGAAGUAGAGUGCUAAUCACACUCACUCUAAUUGAGAUGGUCACCUCAUUUCAGUUCGAAAAUGGAGAGAACGUUCGCCUUGAUAUAGUGCCCACUGGAGGACCAUUGAGAGUUACCUACCAAGGAUGGCCUUUCCUCAUCUUAUAUCAUGGAAGCAUCUCAUUAGAACAAAAUAUAGAGGAAGCAAUCGAGGGACCCAUGGGGCGUCUAACCGUCAUAUCUUGCAAGCUACCUUUUCACUUGAAACUUUGUUUUCUCUACUUAUCUGUGUUUCCUGCACACCUAGAGAUAUCCACCAGGCAGUUAUAUCAUUUGUGGAUAGCUGAGGGUUUCAUUCCAGACAACAGUGAGGCAACUGCUGAGAAGUACUUAGAGCAACUAAUCAACAGAGGCUUUGUCGAAGCAAAUAAGAGAAGAACUGGAGGCACAAUCAACACAUGCUCUAUUCCCGGUCGUUGCCGUCCUGUAUUGUUAGCAGUGGCUUCCGAGGUGGAAUUUAUCUUUCUCUCGUUCAUGGUUUCAGAACGUAAAUCAAAAAAGAAUGUUAAACGGAUCAACGUUUUUGAUAAACAGAGUGAUUUUGUUCACUUUGUUGAUGAUGACUCGCACAUGCAUUCUUUGUUGUACUUCACUUCAAAAAGCGACCACCUUGACCCAAUAGAUUGGGGGAUAAUUUGUCUAAUGUUGGAAUUUCUUAGAGUAUUGGACUUGGGAUCUCUUGUUCUCAUCCAAUAUCCAUCUGGAAUUGAAAAUUUAUUUCUUUUGAGAUAUUUAAAGUUGAAUAUCCCUUCCCUCAAAAUCCUGCCUUCAUCAUUAUUAAGCAAUCUUCUGAACCUUUACACCCUAGACAUGCCCUUUAGCUAUAUAGAUCAUACAGCUGAUGAAUUUACUUUGCAUGCUAGGAAUACCGCGUGAUGAGACGGGAAGGGAAGGAGUCACGUUGCCCUAGGCUGCUAAACAACAUAUUCAAAACCUUUACGCAGAGAUACGAAAUCGUUACUUCUUUGCUGAGUGACUGUGGAUACAACACAGCUUGGAUUAUGUUGCGAUCAAAUGCUAUAAAAGAUCAAAUUGAUGGAGAAUUAGAAACAGAUCUUCAGCCCAUUAUUGAAUUAGACUGUUAGCUCUCUCAAAUAGACUUGCUAACAUCGUUCCAACUGAAAAAUGGAGAGAACAUUGGGAUUAAGUUAGUGCCUGCAGGAGUGCCACUAAAAGUUACCGACGACCUUUUCUCAUCUUCUACCAUGGAAUUGUGUCAUUAGAAAAGAAUUGGCUAGAUACUUGGCAUAUCUCUAGUGGGUAUCAAAUGUUUUCAUAUUCCACAUUUUAGGAUUCUAUACUGAUCUGAGCUACUACGAUUAUGUAAUUAUGUGUUAUUAUAUGAAAUAAAAUAAUGAAUAAAUCUUGAUUGUAUAUAAAUAAGAAUACACAUAUAUCAUAAGAUUCUUCAAAACCCAUAUAAGUUUAAAUUAUAAGAGGAUUUAAUACCAUUUCACAUUACCUUUUUCUUGAAAAUUUAAUUGUAUCAAUUGUGGGUAGCUGAAGGUUUCAGUCCAAACAAUAAUGAGUCAACUGCUGAAAAGUUCUUGGAACAACUAGUCAUGGAGCUUUUUGGAGCAAAAAUGAGAAAAGCUGGAGGCACAAUCAACGCUUGCUCAAUUCCUUCUCUGUAAAUUUGAACGCUUAAACACGUACCAUCAUCCCAGUUCCUUGCAGUCGCCCCAAAGCCCCUGCUUGCAGUAGAGGAAAAACGAUUCUGUAUAGCCAUCGGGACUCAUCGAUGAAACAGAGAAGAAAAUUUGAAACAAUCCAAGGUUUCAUAGAUCAAAUGAAACCCCAAGAUCAAUCAAGACCAAUGGAGACAAGAUCAAUGGAUGAUCUUGUACUUAGCUCUAAAACAAAUAAGUAAAACCAUCAAAGAAAUUGGAUCAAAACCAGCAGGUUUAGAUUGAUUAUUUAUGAAUGUUCGGGUUGGAUUUUUCUGAUAACCUCUAGAAAGAGUCAAUAUUGUUCAGGUUGGAUUUUUCUAGUAAUGUUUAGAAAUAUAGUCGACCCCAAUCUACUCAGAACUCAUUGUCGUCGAGCUAACCUUGUAAGUACAACCUGGAGCCUAUGUUGGCAGCCUGAUUUACAAGUAUGACCUGAGAUUUAUGUAAAUGACCUGAUUUAAGAAUACAACCUUAAGCCUAUAUAAGCGACCAGAAAAUUCACCAGUCCGAUCUGAAAGUGAAGAAAUCCAACCUCGAAAUUUAUUUGUCUGACUCGAGAAUUAACUUGACAUAGAAAGCUAUCGGUUGAGAUAACAUGGCCUAGUUUCUCAUAAAGUUAUGUGCCACGAUCCAUUUAAACCAUCUCCAACUGAUGACCAUGUGCAACUGCUGAAGAAAGUGGGUAGAAGUUAAAGGUGGUAACCACCCACGACCAAGGGCCUAUUUAAGCUAAAAAGGACAACUGAGGAAAGGGUUAGAAAAAUGAACCAAAAAUUCUAUAAGUUGCCUCUCUAAAAGUCUUAAGAUUCCCGACAAGAUUUUUAGUUUUCUUUACCGAAAAAAUUCCUUAAUUUUCACUUUUCACAAUUCUCCCUUCUCGUUUACCUUUUUCUUAUACACAAUUUCUGACUUAAUCAUCGGAGGGUCUACGCCGGGACCCCACCGGCGUAUUCUAACCGUGUUUUCUGGUUGUUAGGUAUAUAAAGCUGGGUUCAGACCGAUGUUUGAGCUUGGAUUCGCGUUGUAAUUCUCCAAAAGAAAACAAAUUCAGCUGUUGAGGUCAUUUUUCGGCAUCAACAUCUUGGCGCUAUCUGUGGGGAAUGGUGCGAAAAGCCAUACGUUUGAAGAUUUAAAAGGAGGAGGCUAUCGGAUUACAAAACAGCGAUAUAUGAUAAUGAUGGAGACAGGCAGACCUUGCGCCAAUUGGCGGAGGAAAUGAAUGCCACGACAGAUAAGAGAUGGAGAGAAUGGAUCGAGAGGCACAUGGCAAAAUUUGAGGAGAUGGUUAGGGGGCUGAUUAAUGCCCAAGUUAGAGGGGCUCAAGUUCGAGCUAGUGACCCAGGGAGUAGUGGAGCGCGAGAGAGGGAAGAGCUUGGUGGUGAACAGUAGAGCAGAAUGGGACUACCACAAGUUGGGGUACGACAAGAAAAUAGAAGUGUAGGAGAACAAGUGAAUGAGUUGAGAUACAGAAUCAAUGACUUGAAUCAAGAAAGAGAGAGGGAAGAGCUGAGAGACCCCCACCAGGCAAAUGAGCUUGAGCAGCGAAUGCUGCAAUUUUAAAAAACUUUAGAGGCAUUAAAGGCGAAAACAGAGGGCAAGCAAGUGGUAGGAAGGUUGUUACUUGAUGACAAGUCCCUCUUAGUACGUAAAGUGAUGGCGGUAACUUUGCCAUCUAAGUAUGUGGUUCCAGCCUUGGUGUAUGAAGGAAAAACUAACCCGAAUCAUCAUAUGGAGAAGUUUAAUAAGAUGACCGGGAUCCAAGGUUUGAAUAAUUUUCAAAGGUGUCGUGUUUUUCCUUUAACCUUAGAAGGACGAGCACGGGAGUAGUACCAGAGAUUAAAGAAGGGAAGCAUAGAAAAUUUCAAUGAGUUAUGUGAGCUUUUCGCUGUGCGUUUUAGAUGUUCAUGCAUACUAGAGUAAGAUACGAGUAGAUUGAAAAAAAUUAGUCCAACGAGAAUUUGAAAGUUUGAGGAGUUUUGUGACCAGGUAUCAUAAAGAGAUUACUGAUCUAGGGGCCUUUGAUCAUCCAGAUGCUCUAGAGGGAUUAAAGAAAGGGUUGAGAAUCAAUCGAUUGUGGAAUAACUCAUAUAGUAAGAGGAUAACAACAUAUACUGAGGCGUAUGACCAGGAAAAUUUGGAUAUGAAAAUUGAAGAUGCAGAGGAAGAAACAAGGAGAAUGGAAAUGCAGACAUGGGGUCCGAUGAGAAGGGGGGACCUGAGAAGAAGAUGAGAUAACUUUGGGUAUAGCUCGAGGAUGAACACGAAUGAUAAGCAUCAUUACGACAAAGGAUUGUUCAAUUAUAGACAACCAGAAAGGCCGGGUCAAAAUUAGGAAGGAAAUCAUGAAAGAAGAAAAUCUCAUUAGUAGGAAGGGGUCGAGAGGGAGGAAAUAAUUAUGAGAGGAACCAACGGGAGAGCCAAGUAUAAGAUUACAAUAGGUUGCCACCACCUGUAGACCGAAGAGGAUCGAGACCUGCUAAUGGGGUGAAUUUAUUAUAACAGAGUGGAAGAUACACACAACUAAACAUAAGCAAAGUAGAAAUAUAUGUUACAAUAAAAGAUAAGGGGUUACUAACACUGCCAAAGCCGAUUGUAGGGGGUUUGAGUGGAAAUGCUCACCACAAGUAUUGUGAGUUUCACAAGGUGACCGGACAUGGAACUGUAGAUUGCAUAGACUUGAAGGAACAAAUUGAAUGGCUAGUGUAAAAUCAAUAUCUAAAGAAGUAUGUGGAUGACCAAAGAAGAGGUGGGAGAAGAGAAGACAUUAGAGAUAAUAUAGCGAUGAUGAUUAUAGGAGGGCCGACCUUAGCAGGAGACUCAAACCGCUUGAGGAGAAAUUAUAGCAGAUAUUCACUAAAAAGUUUCGAGGUGAAUUUUAAUAUUCUGGCACUAAAGAAGCAGCGGAUUCACAAGGUGUCGAUCAUGUUCACGGACGAGGACGAGGAAGCGAUCGUACAUCCACAUGAGGAUAUGCUUGUAGUGAAGGUUGUCUUGGCAGGGCAAGAAUUGAAUCGAGCUUUUGUAGAUGGGGGAAGCUCGGUAGACAUUUUGUUUAAGCAAACUUUGGAUGAUCUACAAAUAGGAGACCUCAGGCUUGAUCCCGUCAGAACAUCGCUAAAGGAGUUUGGUGGAUUUGAGCUAAUUCCACUUGAGUUGAUUGACUUGCCGCUGACAAUAGGGUCCAACCCACUACAAAAGACAGUGAUAGUGACAUGGUUGGUAGUUGAUGAGCUUAGCCCUUAUCAAGUUAUUUUGGGCAGACCGUUCAAUAGGAUAGUAUGAGUAGUGAGCUUAACUUAUAUGCAAUGUGUGAAAUUUAGAGUUCAAGGUGGAGUUGGAGUGAUGAUAGGCCAACAAUAAGUGGCUCGAAGCUGUUACACUAAAAUUGUGAGAGAAUCCAUGAAGAUCACAAGUAUCGAUCCACGAGCUGAAAAUAGGUUAUGCCAAUAGCGACCUAAUGAAGAAAUGAAACAAGUACCAGUAAGUGAGGAUGAUCCGAGCAGAGUAGUAAGAGUGGGAACAAAGAUAACAGAUGACAUUUUUAAUGAGCUUCAGAAUUUAUUGGUGGAGUAUAAUGACAUAUUUGCUUGGAGACAUGAAGAUAUACUGGGAAUAAACCCAUGAAUCAUGUGUCACUAGUUGGCUAUAGAUAAAAAACAUAGGCCAAUGAAGUAGAAAAGAAAAGUGUUCAACCAGGAAAGGUAUGCGGCCAUCUAUAAUGAGGUAGAUAAAUUGUUGAAAGUGGGAUUUAUAAGGGAAGUGAACUAUCCAGAAUGGGUUUCGAAUGUGGUAAUGGUUAAAAAGGCGAAUGGAAAAUGAAGGAUGUGUGUAGACUUUACCGACCUCAACAAAGCUUGUCCUAAAGAUAGUUUCCCUCUCUCAAAGAUUGAUUAGUUAGUGGAUUCAACAAUCGGGCAUGACUUGAUGAGUUUUAUGGAUGCAUUCUCAGGAUACAACCAGAUUCGUAUGUCCACAGUAGGUGAAGAAAAGACAGCUUUUGUGACCGACCAAAGAUUGUAUUGCUACCAUGUGAUGUCGUUCGAAUUAAAAAAUACUGGAGCUACUUAUCAAAGGUUGGUAAACAAGCUUUUCAAGCCCUUGAUUGGUAAAAUGAUGGAGGUAUAUAUAGAUGACAUGAUAACCAAGUAUGUUGAGCAGGCGGAACAUACAACGCAUUUGCGUAAGACAUUUGAAGUGCUACAAAAGAUAAGAUGAAGUUGAUUUCGGAAAAGUGUGCCUUUGGAGUGGAAUCAGGGAAAUUUUUGGGCUUCCUAGUUAGUCAAAUGGGGAUAGAAGCUAAUCUGAAAAAAGUAGAAGUCAUCCCCAAGAUGAGGUCGCCGAAGGAUCUUAAAGAUGUUCAGAGCUUAGCUGGAAAGGUUACUGCGCUGAGUAGGUUCAUUUUGAAAUCAUCAGAGAAAUGCCAUCCAUUUUUUGAAUUGAUGAAGAAAGGAAAAAGAUUGAGGUGGUUGGAAGAAUGUGAGACAACAUUUCAACAAUUAAAGGCAUAUUUGGCCAAUGUACCCACUUUGGCUAAGCCCUUAGUGGGUGAUGUUCUCUUGAUCUACUUGGUGGUCUUAAAUUAUUCAACUAGCUCAGUCAUGGUAAAAGAAGAAGAUGAAGUAUAACAACUUGUAUACUACAUGAGCAGAUCUCUUACAGGGGCAAAAGUAAGAUAUCCUAUUGCAGAAAAGUGGCCAAUGGUUUUUGUUGUAGCUACAAGAAAGCUGAGGCCAUAUUUUCAAGCUCAUGAGAUCGUGGUAGUCACUAAUCAACAUUUGAGAUCAAUUUUUCAAAAAUAAGACAUUUCAGGAAGACUAGUUAAGUGGUUAGUAGAACUAAGUGAAUUCGACAUCGGUUACCAAUCGAGGUCAGCAAUUAAAGCACAAGCUCUGGUCGACUUCAUUAAUAAUUGCAGUGAAGGGAGUGAAGAGAUGGAUGCCGAGCAGGAGAUUAAAGAGGCAGAGAAGAAGAAUGAUGUAUGGGAGCUUAAUGUAGAUGGAGCUGCAAACCCAUAAGGGUCAGGCAGGGGAAUUGUUCUUGUUUCACCCGACCAGGAAGAAGUAUGCUACUCUCUCAAGUAUGAAUUCCAUCCUACAAACAAUGAAGCAGAAUACGAAGCUCUCAGUGCGGGUCUAAAAUUAGCAAGAGCAUUGGGAGUUUGGCAUUUGAAGGUGAAGAGUGACUCUCAACUGGUAGUGAACUACUAGAAUGGGACAUUUCAAGCCAAAAGUGAGAACAUGUCCAAGUAUCUGAGCAAAGCACUACUGUUAUGUGGUAGUUUUGAUCACGCUACAAUGGAGAAAGUUCUGAGGGGAAAGAAUUACUGAGCAGGUUAUAUAGCAAGACUGGCAGUUAUAGAAUGCCCAAAGUUCCAACGAGGAAUUCCAUUGGAGUCAGUUUCAAAGCCAAUAGUUAAUUCUGAAAUGAAAGUUUGUAUGGUAAAAGAUGAGAAGAACUGGAUGGUGCCUAUCAUGAGGUAUAUUGAAUUUGAGGAACAACCUCAAGAUAAAGCAGAGGCAAGAAGGCUGCGAUGCCAGGCAACACGGUACUCCAUUAUCGAAGAUGUGCUUUAUAAGAGAAGUUGCACUUUACCUUACCUGCGAUGUUUGGGCUCAGCUGAUGCCAACUAUGUGAUGAGAGAGGUGCAUAUGGGAAUUUGUGGAAAUCACAGCGGAGGUAUGGCAUUGGCCCAUAAAAUAAUAAGGUAUGGUUAUUUUUGGUCGACCAUGCAUGAAGAUGCACAAGAGUUAGUUCGGAGAUGUGAUGAAUGCCAGAAGUUCGUCGUAAUUGUAAGACAACCACCAGAAAACAUGAUGACAAUGGGGAGCACUUGGCCAUUUGCACAAUGGGGGGUGGAUCUUAUCAAACCAAUGCCAACCGGGAGAGGCCAAAUGAAAUACGCGGUGGUAGCCAUUGAUUAUUUUACUAAAUGUAUUGAAGUUGAGCCGUUACAAAAGAUAACCGAGAAGCGCACAACAUAUUUUAUAUGGAGGAAUGUGAUUUGCAGAUAUGGCCUACCGCAAGCUAUUAUCACUAAUAAUAGAACCUAAUUCAAUAAUGAGAAUUUCAAGAAGUUUUGUGGUCAGCUUGAUAUUGAACUUCGGUUUAGCUCACCUGCUCAUCCGAAGGCAAACAGACAAGUGGAAGCGGCAAACAAAACUAUAAAGCAAUUGUUGAAGAAAAGGUUAGGUGAGAAGAAGGGAGCUUGGGUGGAUGAGCUUUCAGGAGUACUGUGGGCCUAUAGAAUGACCGUGAAGACUUUAACGGGGGAGACUCAAUUCUCACUUGCUUUCGGACAUAAGGCAGUAAUCCCAGCUGAGGUUGGCAUGGAGACACACUGCACAAAAUAUUAUGAUGAGACAAUAAACAGGGAAUAUAUAUUGUUGGAUUUAGAUUUGCUUGAUGAGAAGAGAAAGUCGGCAAGAGGUCAAGUAGCAAUUUACCAGUAAAAAGUGGCUAAGUUCUACAACAAGAAUGUCAAGCUACGACAAUUUUAGGAGGGGGACCUGGUGCUCUGCAAAGUCAAUCAAUCAACCAAAAAGCCAGCUGAUGGAGUUCUAGGGCCGAGCUGGGAAGGACCAUACAAAGUACUACACUCAUUUGGUAAUGGCGCAUAUAAGUUAGGUUAUCCGGAUGGCAGGGUCGUCGGCAAGUCAUGGAAAGCAGAGCACUUACAAAAAUACUAUCAGUUGGCCAAUCCUAUUUAUGAUGUUCUUGUUUGUUUUUUUUUAAAUAUGUUAUGAUAGUUUUUUUCUUUGUUAUUUCAAUUCGUUAUGUGUUCAAUUACGUAAUUUCUGUCAUAUUAAUAUCAAUGAGGUUAUUCAGAAAUGCAACUUUAUUUCUUACCUACUUGUGACUGAUCUUCUUUGAGAUUGGCAUAUUUGAGCCUUAUUGAGGUCCAACAUAAAUUUUUAUCAAAUCUUAUUGAGAUUAAGAUCGACAUUUGGGCCUUGUUGAGGCCGAAUGUGAAAAUUUAUCCAAUCUUAUUAAGAUUGAGAUAAGCAUUUUGGCCUUAUUGAGGUCCAACGUGAAAUUUUUCAUCAAAUCUUAUUGAGAUUGAGUUUCGACAUUUAGACCUUAUUGAGACCGAACAUGAAAAAUUUAUCCAAGCUUAUUGAGAUUGAGAUCAACAUUUUGGCCUUGUUGAGGUCCAACGUGAAAACUUGUUGAGGUCAACUAUAACUAUAACAUUUAAGAUUUACAAUUUUCAACUCGUUGAGGUCGGCUAUAGCCAUAACAUUUAAGUUCUACAAUUUUCAAUUUAUUGAGGUCGACACUUUAGAUUUGUAAGGCCUAUGAUUGAGGUCGACAAUUUAGUUUUGUGAGGUCUACAAUUGAGGCCGACACCUUUGCGUUGUGAGGUCUACAACUUUGGUCGACAUUUUAGUUUUGUAAAGCUUAAGGUUGAAGUCGACACUUGCUUUGUGAGCUCUACGGUUGAGGUCGACAUUUUAGUUUUGUAAAGCCUACGGUUGAAGUUGACACUUGCUUUGUGAGCUCUACUUUUGAGGUCUACAUUUUAGUUUUGCAAAGCCAACGGUUGAGGUCGACACUUGCUUUGUGAGCUUUACGGUUGAGGUCAACAUUUUAGCUUAGUAGGAUCUAAAACUGAGGUCGACACUUUAGAUUUGCAAGGCCUACGGUUGAGGUCGACAUUUUAGCUUGGUAAGAUUUAUAGUCGAGGUUGACACUUUUACUUUGUGAGCUCUACAAUUGAGGUCGACAUUUUAGUUUUGUAAAGCUUACGAUUGAGAUCCACAUUUUAGUUUGGUAGGAUCUACAACUGAGGUUGACAUUUUAGUUUUGUAAAGCCUACGGUUGAGGUCGACACUUGCUUUGUGAGCUCUACAUUUAAGGUCGACAUUUUAGUUUUGCAAAGCAUACGUUUGAGAUCGACAUUUUAGUUUGGUAUGAUCUACAACUGAGGUCGACACUUUAGAUUUGUAAGGCCUACGGUUGAGGUCGACAUUUUAGCUUGGUAAGAUUUAUGGUCGAGGUUGACACUUUUGAGUUGUGAGCUCUACGAUUGAGGUCAACAGUUUAGUUUUGUAAGGUCUACGAUUGAUGUUGACACUUUAAAUUUGUAAGGCCUACGGUUGACGUCGACAUUUUAUCUUGGUAAGAUCCAUGGUCGAGGUUGAAGCUUUCGCUUUGUAAGCUCUACGAUUGAGGUCGACAAUUUAGUUUUUUGAGGUCUACGAUUGAGGUCGACACUUUAGAUUUGGAAGACCUACGGUGGAGGGCAACAUUUUAACUUUGUAAGAAUCUAUAAUGAGGUCAGCUUCGCGCUUCUUAAGGUCGACUUUCCAGCCUAGUUACAAUCAGCAAUAGCCUAAACAUCUUCAGUCUUGUUGUGGUCGGCAUUAGCUUUGUUAAAAAUUAGCGUCCAGGCUACGUAACGAUUAUCCGAAUACAAAAACAAAAUGAAAGCUCAACAAGAGUUAUCAGUUCGUAACAUUACAUAAAGGCAAGCCUUAUAACAACUUCUCAAAUCUACUUAGGAAGCAUGCUCUUCGUCUUCAAUAACUCUGCUAGUUAAAGAUGUCUCACCCUCAACUCUAAUCUCAUCACCCUGAAGAACUCGAUUUUCUUCUUGAUCCGUACUCGAUGACUUCUUCUUAGCCUUUUCUUUGCUCACAUAAGCAGUCAACAUCCAUUGAAAGUCCAUGUCCGGGUGUUGUUCUUGGAACAAUUCAAUGCAUGUCUAAAUGACAUCUGCCUUCAGUUGCCUUUUCUCUAGUCGAAUGCGUUGAUCAACAUCAGACUUAACUUUUUCCAACUCAUAGCUAAGAUCGGCAAUCUUGGAGUCUUUGCUCGCAUUAGAUUUCUUUUUGGCUACCAAGUCUUCUGCCAAGUGAGUAUUUUCAUCGUUGUGAGCAUUGAGGUCACGCUUGAGCUGAUCUCGCUCGCUUGCUGUCUUUUUGUUCGUGAGGUUGUCUUUCAUCAAAGCGCGCUCGACUUCUUCUAUUUUUGCAUGGCCUUUCAAUGACUUUGCAAACGUCUCGAUAUCCGCGGCCAUGAUCAAGGAUUGCUGUGAAAGAAAGCAUGAUGGUUAAGAAGAAAAGUAUAAACAUCAAAGAAAUAAAGAUUGUGAAUUAAUACCCACCUCAGCUUGGUUUCGAGCAAGCACUUCAAGAGCAUGAGUAGCUGACAAGUGGGAAAAAUUCUUGAUGGUACCCUGGCUCACAAAUCGAGCAGCUAAGUUCACCAUGGGUAGUAAGUCCUCCGCUCUUCCUCACUUUGACUCUAUGAUGUCAUUGCUUUCAAGCAAGCUUCCUUUCGGACAUAUCGGGGAAGAGGUAAGUGGUAAAAUGCGCAAGGGACGAGAGUCGCUAGCUCGGUCACUUUUGCUCUGAGGUAGCAUGUUGCAAGCUGAAACAGCAAGUUAUUUUUCUUUUUUCUCAUCAGCUUUGUUUUUCUGUGAUGCCCGCCAUGGUUUCUUACUAUGUGGUUUUCCUUUCUCGUUCGAUAUCUCCUUGAUCACGGCUUUUGCAAUUUCUGCAGGGGUACGCUUAACAGUAGACGUGUUUCCUGCAUUUAGCAAUCAUUUCUCAACUCUAGCACUCAGCUUGUCAUUUAUAUCAACUUUCUUCUUCAAAGUCACUGCAGUAAAAACAUGUGUUAGAUUGUAUCCUUAUUUCGACCUCAACCUGAACAAAACUUGAAUUACCUAGUCUACUAAAACGAGUGGGAAUUUUAAACCAACCCUUGGUCAGCUCUACAUCCCUACCCUAAUUUCCACCCACCACGAAAUACUUGUUUUUCCAACCUCUACAUGAGCUUGGAAAGUCAAGUACUAUUCUUCUACUAUUUGAUUUUGACAUAAAAUAGUACUAUCCUUUGUGAUUGAUCCCAUGCUCAUUACAAAAAUAUAAGUGAGUAAACUCCUUAAAACACGGCUCGGUUAUAUUCUGCUCAGCCCAUACAACAUACAUACCACCUAAAACCCUCCAGCCAUUUUGGUCAAGUUGACCUGGACUCAAACCCACUCUCACCAACAUUCGAGCAAAGUAAGGUUGAAUGAGCAACUUGAAACCAAGUUAAAAAAUUUCCAUUACCCAAUUUGCUUGCCACCUCAUCUUCGCCCAAUAACUUAAGUGUAAUAUCGUCUGCAAUAAGAUAUUCCUUCCUCAACUCUUCAAUCUCUUUCUCUUUUGUAUCAAAGUUUAGUCUUAUCAAAGUUUAGUCUAUUCACGCCAUAUUCUUCAUGCUCAUCUCCCUCAUCUUCAAAUUGUGCACAACUCGAUUCCUCAUUCACCUCAUUUCCGCGUCUUAUUUUCUUAGACUUAUUUUCGGCCACGUUACAAUUUAAUUCUACAUUAUCUUCCCUGACUUUUCCAUUAUCAUCUACACCCGAUGCAAUAUCACUAAGCCCGUCCAACAACUCCUUAUUCGCAUUUUGCGAAUCGCUACAAAGUGACCCAUCUUCACUCCUUAAUUCCAUUAUUACCUAAUGUUACAUUUAACAAAACCUCAUUUCCAGUCAAUAUUAACACCCAGUAUGUAAACAGCAAAUUACAAGCAACCUUUCAUUGUCAACAUCACAUCCAACACAAUACAAAACACAGCAACAAGCAAAUGCGCUUGGGAUGAGACAACUCACCGGAUCUCCUUUAGUCAUAAUGGAUUCCAGUUUUGCUGAUAGUCAACAAUAGUAACAUCAUUCAGCAUUGGUUCUACAUCAAUAAAAUGCAACAUUAGCUGAGAGUAGUUUAAAAAAAAGAAACACAACAAAGAGAAGAAGAAGUUUGAGUUUCGACAAUAACAAAGAGAGAGGGAGAAUGCAAAACAAAAAAAAAACAGAGAGAGAGAAACGCAGCAAAGAGAAGAAGAAGUUGAGUUGUGACAAAAACAAACAAAAAAAAGAGGCGAGUUCUGUUUAUAAAAAAAAAAAAGGGCGUUUGGUUUCAAUACACACAUAUAUAGAUCUGGUAUUUAUUAUAAAAAAAAGCACAACAGAAGAUGGCGCGCGAGGUACUCACUUAGGGAUGGCAAUGGGGAGGGGAGGGGAGGGGACCAAUCUCCCCAUACCCAUCCCCGAUAUUUUGCAUAUGUCCCCGUCCCCUCCCCGUCCCCGUCAGAAUUACUUGAGAGAAUCCCCAUCCCCUCCCCGAAUAAUAACAGGGGAUCCCCGAGGGUCCCCGGUCCCCGAAUAACUAAUAGUCUAAUACAUUAUUUUUAUUUUCGAUUUUAAAUUAAUCAUAUUAAAAUAAAAAAUUCAGAUAAAAAUAAAGUUCAAAAUAUAUCUUACAUUAAUAUUGAUCCAUUACAAAGUCACAUUCAAAAUAUAAAUUAUUAAAAUAAUUAUAAAACAAUGAAAAUAAUAUAAGUAAAGUAACUUAUAAGUGCAAAUAUUAAUAACUGUAUAAUAUAAUCACAAUGUAAAAUAAACUCAUACUGUUAUUGUAAGCUCGUAACCAACUUUGACAGCACAUUAAGGCCUCCAAUGUGCUUGGAUGAAGUUUGUUACGGUGUGGGCUCACAACUCUACCACCGAUGCUAAAAGCUGAUUCAGAAGCAACUGUUGUAAUUGGAAUUGUCAAAAUAUCUCUAGCAAUUCGAGCUAAUGUAGGAUACCUAUUAGCAUUUAAUAAUAUAAAUAUUUUGAUAUUUAUUAUUUUUAACAAUAUUUAUAAUUUUGUUAUUUAUUUAUUAGUAAUUUUAAAAAUAAAAAUAAAAUUAAAAAUUAAAAUGGGGAAAUGGGUAGGGGAUGGGGAUUCCACCUCAUCCCCGUCCCCUCCCCGCAUAAAAAAUUGGGUAAAAAAUUUUCCCCGUCCCCUCCCCGAAAAAAAAAUUGGGUAUAAAAUUAUACCCGUACCCUCCCCGAAUGGGAAAAAUCCCCGAGGGUACCCGUCCCCGUGGGGAUUUUUGCCAUCCCUAUACUCACUAACAUGUUUGAUUAUGGCUCUGUAGCGUCGUUGCUCAAUUUACCCAAAAAUCGCAGGACGGCGACAGCUCAAUAUUUCACUUUUAUUGUGAAAAAGUGUGGAGGAUGAGGACGAAACAGAAGCCCAAACGAAACAGAAGCCAAAAGGUAUUGAGAAAAGACAAAAUGUAUGUUUUCAAUUUGCCUUUAAGUCACGUGCUUAUGCUUUUUCUCCAUGGUCUCGCUUUUUUAUUUAUUUACUUUAUUCUUUAUUUAUUCCUUAUUUUUAUUUUUUAUUAUUAUUUUUGCCAAAUUCUUACUUUUAAGCCUAUUUUAACGCAACACUAUCCUUGUUCUACUUCACAUUACCCCUGUUCUGCUGGAGACCAUACUACGCUUUCUUCAUUGUUUCAGUUUCCAAUACCGUUCAUAUCUUCUCAGUACUGAAAACUAGGGGACUGGUGUUCAAUUUAUAAGAAUUUUUAUAUUUUUCAUUAAUUAGUGUCCAACACCGAAAAUAGCUUCCUGAUGUUGAAAACUAUGAGACUGGUGUUCGGGUUGGAUUUUUCUGAUAACCUCUAGAAAGAGUCAACAUUGUUCGGGUUGGAUUUUUCUAGUAAUAUUUAGAAAUAUAGUCGACCCCAAUCUACUCAGAACUCAUUGUCGUCGAGCUAAUCUCGUAAGUACAACCUAGAUCCUAUUUUGGCGGCCUGGUUUACAAGUAUGAUAUGAGAUUUAUGUAAAUGACCUGAUUUAAGAAUACAACCUUAAGCCUAUAUGAGCGACCAGGAAAUUCACUGGUCCGACCUGAAAGUGAAGAAAUCUGAUCUCGAAAUUUAUUUGUUCGACCCAAAAAUUAGCUUGACAUAGAAAGCUAUCGAUUGAGAUAACGUGGCCUAAUUUCUAGGAAAGUUGUGUGCCACAAUCCAUUUAAACUGUCUGCAAUUGAUGACCACGUGCAACUGUUGAAGAAAAUGGGCAGAAGUUAAAGGUGGUAACCACCCACGACCAAGGGCCUAUUUAAGCUAAAAAGGGCAUCUGAGGAAGGGGUUAGAAAAAUGAACCAAAAAUUUUAUAAGUCACCUAUCUAAAAGUCAUAGGAUUCCCGACAAUAUUUUUAGUUUUCUCUACUGAAAAAAAUCCUUAAUUUUCAGUUUUCCCUUUUCGUUUACCUUUUUCUUAUACACAAUUUCUAACUUAAGAAUCAGAUGGUCUACGUCGAGACCCCACAGGCGUAUCCUAACCGUGUUUUCUGGUUGUCAGGUAUAUAAAGCUGGGUUCAGACCGACGUUUGAGCUUGGAUUCGCACUGUAAUUCCCCAAAAGAAAACAAAUUUAGCUGUUGAGGUCGUUUUUCGGCAUCAACAAUGAACAUCAUACUUGCCACACUCUUGCGUAUAAAUCCUUAGAUUUACAGGUCUUAUAUCACAUGAAUGAAGAUGCUAGUGGUGUGCCUCCAUGGAGCUCUAACUCAAUAGUUUUCAAGUAGUUUUAUUUAGCUAACCACCUAAGUUUGAGUUGUGGUGAGGAAAGAUGAUAAAAAUUAAUUUGAUCUUUGCACCUCACUACCUUUAAAAGAGUUCAAACUUCUAACUCGGUUUUGAAUUUUAAUUAUUUUAAAUUGAAAUGCUAAGUCCAUAUAUUAUAUAUAUGAGUUUUUUUUUUUUUUGCCCAAGGUUGAAUUAAACUAUAUAUUUACGAAAGUCUUGAGAUACAUGAUUUUCAGGAUUUAAUAAAAUCAUAUGUACUAGCUAUAUAUACAUCUUAAUAAAUGUUUGCCAGACCUUUAUUUGUACUAAAAUUAUACAUAUCUAGACUCUCAUUACACUUUAGAUUGUAACAAUUUAAAUAUUUUUUUUUUGUGGAAGUCGUUUAGAAUUCUAAGAUCGGAAGUCAAAUUUCAAUAACGAUUUUUUAAAAAUAUUAAUUUAAUAUAUAUAUAGGGAGAGAGAGAUUCUUGAGUGCAUAUACUUAACAUUAUAUAGUGUUAUAGCGAAUUUACACAAAAUUUACAUAUCGACACUUGAGAAUUUCUAUAUAUCAAAGCUUUUAAAUGCAGAAGUCUAAAUAUGGAUUUCAUGCGGAUUCACUACAAAAUCAUAUGAUGUUAACAUGUUUUUACAAUUGACUAUAAUACCACAUGAUGUUGUAGAAAAUCACACGGAAUCUCUAUAAUAUAAAGAGAGAGAUCUUGCUUUGCUUUAUAAUUGAAUAUAGGGUGGUGAUAUUCCCAUCGCUCAAAUUUUGUAAACCUACCUCACUUUAAAAAAUUAAAUCAUAAAAAAUUCACAUUAUUUUUAACGAUUUCAAAUUAUUAAGAAUAAAAUAAGCAAUUGACUAAUUAAAUCCUUAUUAAAUAAUUAAAAUACAUUUAUGAUAUGAUAUCUCAAAAAAUUUAUAUUAUUUUUCCCAUGAAAUUUACUAAUUACAAGAAAGAUCUGAUUGAUUAAUUGUUUAAAUUUUAUUUAUUUUAAAUUGAAAAAAUGUGAAUUAUUUUUUAAAUAAUUCUUUGAAAUGAUUUAAAUGUGGUACGUGUCCCACCAAGUUAAAACCUGAAGCUGAUUUAAAUUUUAUUUUGGAACGGAAACCUAGUAGCGAGGCUUCGUUCUUCAGGAAAUUCCGAGGUAAGUUAAUCAACGUUUCCACUAAUUACUUUUAUUUUGCUUCCAAAGUUUAUUUAAUUAGACCAAUUUCUGGCUUCCGACUUAAAUUGCAUAUCCAAUUUAGUGGUUGAUUUUUGGAGAUGGAGAUAAACUGAAACAUUGAUAAGCUUAGGGAAAAAAAAAUUCGAUGGAGAUUGAAAGUUCUUCGAUAGGAUUCUAGGGUUUUGAUUAGAGAAUUAAGAGAGAAUAGAUGAAGAAUUUAAAGAGAAGGGAGAAGAAUUAAUAGGAAUUAGAAUUAAUUUUAUUACUUGCCUCCUAAAAAUAUAAUAAGAACCACUUAUUUAUAGUAGUUCAAGACAAUCAUAAUUAUAAUUUAAUAAGGACUUUAAUUGAAAUAAGAAAACCUAAUACUAAUAGGAAAGAAAUUAAAACAAGCAAUUAAAAUAAAAUAAACUAUUAGGGUCCUAACAUUCACUGCCCCUUAAAACAGGCUUGUCCGCAAGCCUUUUACCCAGUUUCAAUAACCGAGAUCUUCCAAUCCACAUGAUGGUCAGGUGGUUUUUGAGGGUUGUGAAGAGGUAUAUUAGCGUCUAAAAGCAAUAGUUGAGAUUGUUUGCAGCGAUGUCCAGGCUUGAAUUGCUCAUCACAGUUGAAACAAAGCCCUUUAGAACGUCUUUCCGCCUGCUCAGUUGAGGAUAAACGUUUGACAUUAUUAGGUAAGAUAGAGGGAACCAGUCCUAAUAAAGAGGGUGCUGGUGGAGUAGGAGUUGACUGUAAUUGUGGGAGUGGAUCUUGGAUGGCAGGAAUAGGGGAACAAUUGCCUUGUAAAGUAAUUGCCUUUUCCUGAAAUCUAGCAAGUUCAAAAGUUUGUAGGAGACUAACAGGUUUGAAUAGUUGUACGCCAGCCUUGAUAUCUUUACGUAACCCAGAGAGGAAACAACUAAUGGAGAAAAGCUCAGUUAAAUUGCUAGUCCGAUCAGCCAACUUUUCAAAUUGUCGUUGAUAGUCAAGAACAGUCCCUGUUUGACAUAGUUUGGUAAGACUGCCAACUGCAUCAUUCUCUUCUAAUGUCCCAAAUCGAGUAGUCAAAGCUCGUUUAAAUUGCGCCCAAGUCAUUUCGCCCAUAGUCUGCUCUAGCCAAUGAAACCAAGGUACCGCAUCACCAUCAAAAUGGCCAAUAGCUAAAGACAAUAAGUCAGCAUCUGAUAAUCCAGUAAGGCGACGAUAUUGCUCACAUCGAAAAAUCCAUCCCGUUGGAUUGUCACCAUGAAAAAUAGGAAAGUCAAGGCAUAUGUUACGAGCUUGCACAAGAGUACUUCCAAUGCGUUCAGUAGGUUCAAGAGGGGAAUGGGUAGCAAUGACCGUUUGAGGAGCAGAGGUCCCUCCAGUAAAUAUAUCAACUUGUCGUUGAUCAGUAGCUGGUUGUUUGCCUUUUCACAACUAACUCAAUUACUGAAGGAUGCCGUGCAUGAGUUCCUGCAAAUCGUUAUUCUGCUUGGCUAAGGUUGUAACCUUUUCAUCGAUGGCUGUAAACUUGUCAUGGAAUUGUUGUGAUAACUGCUCAACUUGGCCUUCAAGCUCUUUAACAGUCAUGAUGCCUAAAAAAAGUUCGAAGAAAAUUCACGUUUGGUUGAAAAAUUUAGAUGCUGGAAAAAGUUUGGAGGGUGUGCCCGGUUCAAGUCUCCAAAAGCCAAGAGAUAUUGACAAAAGUUUGGUUGCUGUUUUUUUUUUCAAAUAGUGAACGAAAAAAAAAAUGGUGGCAGGAAGGAUGUGCUCUGAUACCAGAUGAUAGGAUUCUAGGGUUUUGAUUAGAGAAUUAAAAGAGAAUAGAUGAAGAAUUUAAAGAGAAGGGAGAAGAAUUAAUAGGAAUUAGAAUUAAUUUUAUUACUUGUCUCCUAAAAUUAUAAUAAGAACCACUUAUUUAUAGUAGUUCAAGACAAUCCUAAUUGUAAUUUAAUAACGACUUUAAUUGAAAUAAGAAAACCUAAUACUAAUAGGAAAGAAAUUAAAACAAGCAAUUAAAAUAAAAUAAACUAGUAGGGUCCUAACAUUCUUAUUACCUACAAAUGCAAUUAAUUAAAAUUUCUAAAAUUACUGUAAUUGUUGGCAAUGUGGGUUUUUUUUUUUUUGGUUUUGGGAGAGGGGGUCUGAAAUUUGCAUGCAUGCCUUAAUUGAGUUUUAUCACUUUAAAUCUUAAUUACUAAUGUUUUUUCUAUUAACGGUUGAAAAUAAGAUAAGAAGAGAGACGGUGAACUUGAAGAAGUAUAAGAAGAAAAGACAUGUACUGAUGUUGAUAUGUUUAUGUGAAUAAAGAAAUGGAAUCUUUGUCCAAGUUUUUCCCUUGAUGUUCUAAAGUUUGCAUAUAUAUGUUUCAAGAAACAAAUGGAAAUUAAAUAGUACAUAAAGGUGAACUCACAUCGUCGACUAAAGGUUACACUACCAUUUGCCCAAUGGUUCCAUUUCUAUUAUCAUUUUCUUUAUUCACAGAAAUAUCGUCGGCCUCAAAUUCAUCAGUAUAAAAAGAGGGACAAGGGCAAGGACAAGGACAGGGUGAAUCUAUUCUAUGACAACAGCAAGUCUGAAAUUUAGUUUUAUUUCUGCUGCCGCACUGAGGAAUCACGAGCAUCAACCACCUACUUUAUUACCGUUGCUUCAUUUUUCUCCUGAAGACAGUUGACUUGACGAAAUAACAUUUUUAAUGAGGCUGCCUUAGAGAAAGCAUAUAUGUUAAUCAUCUGUUGUAAUCUCAUGCCAAAAUCAUUUCAGUUCCUGCUCAUAAAAUUAGUUACUUCAACCUUUGUCAUAUGUAUUCUCCACUGCUUUAAGAUACUUUGAUAGUGAAUGUGUCUAAAUUCCAACUCAAAAGAUUCAUUUGAGGAAAAUUUCUUCAGAUGGUCAUGUAGAGUUCUAAUUUAUCUCAGCGUCAUACUCUAAAUACUUGAAAACUACAUGUCAAUCAUCAAUGUUCAUCUUUUGUUGACAAUCUCAACGAUCAAGUGUGUUUGGGAAAAAAUUAUCACAAUUAUGUUUAGUCCAUUUAUAAGACAAUGUGUCAAGUGAUCCAUUAGUCUAUUUAAAGGUUGCAAUCAAAUGAGUUCAUGUCCAGAUUGUGAAGUUGGUUAAUUUCAACAUAAUAGCAAUGAUUGUAUCCAGUGCUUUUAUAAAGUUGCUAUGUUAUUACUUCUUUAGUAAGUGGCAGACAUGACUUUCUAUUUUUCCACAGCUUCAAUUGUUAAAUAAUUGAUAAUGCUCUUUCGCUUACUCUGUUCUUUUUUUUUUUAGAUAAGCUUUAUUGCUUUUGCCCUUUCUUUCUUGAGAGUGGAUGUAUAAAACAAAUUGGCCUUGACUGAUACUUGAUGAUGUUGUAAUUAUUUCUCCCUGCUUUAUUCUUUUUACAAUAUAUGGAAGACAAAGUAUUGUAAGAUUCAUUUCCCGCACUGCUCUGCCUUGAUCUGUUCUAAUUUGAGAGUCAGCAAUCUUGAUUCAACUUCUUGGAUGGAGUACUAGCUAAGAGAAGGGAGGAAUGGGAGCCAACACUAAUUUUUCAAUGAGGAGAUAUGGGCAUCAACUUCAGACUAUUUUCGGAGAGGCUGAGAAGGGUGUUAGCUGGCCAAGAAGUCACAUUGCCUGAUGCUGCAAAACAACCUAUUCAGAACCUUCAUGCCGAGGUUGAAAUCGUUACUCCUUGGCUAAGGGACUAUGAAUAUGAUAUGUCCUGGCUUCUGCUGCAAAACAUAGGAGAAGAUGAAGUUGACAACCCAGACCUUGGGCAGAAAUCAAUUGCUUUACCUAUGAAUCUGAGAAGGUCAAUGACACAUUCUCAACAGCAUCACUCAACAGAAGAGUCAAAGCAGGUGCAACAAGGACAUUUGUGAUGCUCUGCUAGGACUUCAGAGUAGAAUCAAUGAUAUAAAACAGCGGAUGCAACAACUUCAAUACAUAGAUUCCGGAAUCAUUGAUGAUUUCAAAAGUAUUGAAGAUGAAGCUGACUAUUUUCCUGCAUCUUCAUCUUCUAAGAAUAGCGGCAUGGUGGGUCUAGAAGACAGAAUGGAGAAGUUGUUAGAUAUUUUGAAAGAGGGACCACCUCAGCUUUCAGUGGUGGCCAUCUUGAUAGCAUUGGGUUGGACAAUGUGGCUUUUGCUGCAGAGGCUUACAGCAGCAGUGAUGUGAAGCAUUAUUUUAAUUGUCACGCUUGGGUUCCAGAGCCUUACAGCUAUGACGCUGAUGAUGACCAAAUAUUAGAUAUCAUUAUUAAGUUUCUAAUGCCUUUAUCUAGGUUGAGUAUAAUAAAGGAUAAAAAUUAUGAAAUGAAAAAAAAAUUCAAGAACAUCUAAUGAUCAAGUGGUAUUUGAUUGUGGUUGAUGAUGUGUGGAGCAUUGAAGUCUGGGAUGUUAUUCGAGAAAUUGUUCUGGAUAAUCAGAAUGGAUGUGGAGUACUAAUAACACUCACUGAAAUUGAUAUUGUCAUCGCAUUUCAGUUCAAAAGCAGACAUAAUAUUUGGCUUGAUUUAGUGCCCACUAAGAGGACUAUUGAGAGUUGUUUACCUUUUUGAAGUACAUGGAACAACUAAUGAAUAGAGUCUUUGUUGAUGCAAAGAAGAGAAGUGAUGGAGGCAAAAUCAACGCAUGCCCUAUUCGUAGUCGUUGCUGGCCUUCAUUGUGGCAAACGGCUCUCAAAGCAGAAUUUAUCUUUUCAUCCUAUCCUGGAUCAGAAAGGUAAAUCGCGAAAAAAUGUCAACCAUGUCUACGUUUUUUAAAAACAGAGUGAUUUUGCUUACUUAGAUGAUUGUGACUCCCACCCGCAUUCUUUUGUCGUACUUCAAAAAGCGACCACCUUGACCCCAUAGAUUGGAUGAAAAUUUGUUAUACUUAAAAAAGCGACCACCUUGACCCCAUAGAUUGGGUGAAAAUUGUUUUGAGUAAUGGACUUGGGAUCUCUUGUUCUCAGCCAAUUUCCAUCCAAAAUUGAAACUUUAUUUCUUUGAUAUGAAGCUGAAUAUCCCUUCCCUCAAAAGCCUGGCUUUAUCAUUAUUAAGAAAUCUCUGAAUCUCUACACCAUAGCCAUUCCCUUUAGCUACAUAAAUCAUACAACAGAUGAAUUUUGGAAGAUGAACAAACUCAGGCAUCUAAAUUUUGGCUCGAUCAUACCUCCCGCACAUCCAGGAAAAUAUUGCGGCUCUUUGGAAAAUCUCAAUUUCAUUACAGCCACGCAUCCUUGCUGCUGUAUUGAAGAUAUAUUGAACAGACUACCUAAUCCUCAAAAUCUCUGGAUAUGAGGAGAUUUAUAUUUUUAUCAAUUUUUGAUGUCCCAAAGCCUUUGCAGAUUCAGAUGCCUCAAGUCAUUGAAGAUGGUGAAUGAAAGCAAGAUGCCAAGGCUCUUCAAAAUCGUCUGUGCCAAAUACCUACUUCCUCAAAGUCUAAUCCACUUGAGUUUUUCAAAUAUUGAACAAAUGGAUGAUCCCAUGCCUGCACUAGAAACGUUUCCACUUCUUCAAGUGCUCAAACUGAAGCAAAGCUCAUAUUUAGGUAAAUAGCUUACUUGUGGGCGUGAUGGUUUCCCAAAGCUCAAGAUAGUGCACCUGAAUUCAAUGCCAUGGCUAGAGAAGUGGACUAUGAGGCUUGGAGCCAUGCCAAAACUGGAAUGCUUGAUUCUCAAUUCUUGUGCUAAUUAGAAAAAGAUUCCUGAAUAGCUCUGGUGCACAAAGAGCUUAAACAAAUUCGAGUGUUGGUGGCUUCAGCCGGAGCUGAGACAAAAGCUACGGGACUUCGAGGAUAAGGCGCAGUAUGACAAUCAAGUAUAUCCUUAUGGAAUUUGAUUUGCAUGGAUUUAAUUAGAUGUAAGUUUUUCAUUUUAUGCUAUAUCAUCAACCUUUAAUUAUUAAUCUAAUUUCAUACAUUUUUUUUUCUUCUCCUCAAUAUAUUUGAUAGUACGCAGCUUGCUAAUGCUAUAAAGUGUUUUCUAAUUGUGGUUGCUUCUAAUUCUUGUCUCAACAUUAGACAUGAAGUGUUCAUCACAGUUCCUAUUGCUGACCCCGACCAUUUUCCCUUAAUUAUUUUUAGAAGAGGAAGAACCCUUGUGUAUUGAUUGUUGAACAGUCAGGAAAAACUAUAAUUUCAGAUCUUAAAUUACUAGCGCAGGUGAAAUCAUACCGGGAAAUAUGUCAAGUGUAGUGCAGCAAAAGUUUCAAUUUCAACCAGAAUCCGGCCUUGAUCCUUUCAGUAUUCACUUAUGUUGUCUACACAUUAUUGAGUCCUCAGGAUUGAUACAGGACAUUGUUGGGUUUCUUUGUUUUCAAGGAUCUGCUACAAGUAAUAAUGUCAAGUUUUUGGAUUCACUGUGUAUAUUCUAUUCGUGUGUCUUCAUUCUUGUAAUGUGCUUGAAACUCCAACUUAGUGUGGACGUGUGUGGUUUGGUCGUACCAUGUGUAAUACAUGUUAAUUGUCAUAAUUGUCUUAAGGGAAUUCUGCAUCACUUCCAUUAGAAGAAAAGUUUGGAUGUAGGCACCAUUGUUGCUGAAUCUACUGUUGAUUUGCUCUAUGUUUUCUAUAUUUUUUUUAAUUCAAUUUCGGGGAUUGCGUUUCUAGCGUUGAUUGUUGAUACAUCAGAGGACUAAAUAAAAGAAAUAGAAACUGGGGCAUAUUGCCUAAUCUUCAGAAUCUCCAAUUUUAUGGAGAUUCAAGUCCUUAUCAUUCAUAAAUAACUUGAAUGCUGGAUUGUUAUUAUCUUAGAUUCUCUAAAUAAUAAUCCAAAUAAGAAUGUAGGAAAAAUAUUGAUUACAAAUGCUUGUUUUGAACAAAUACUACCGAUUAUUUUAAAUUUUUGACAUAGAAAUUAUAAAUAGUAUUAGCAUGUGAAUUUUAAGGUAUUAGCCGAUUCUGUCCAAUUUUAGAGGUUGUUGCCUCAUGUUCACCUUAUAGUCGUUGGUUUUUGCUGAAAAAAUGAAUGUGUAUCAUUUUUUUUCCCUUUUAUUUUCUGUUAUACAUUGAUUCCCCUACUUCUAGCUGAUUCUGUUCUCCUUUAUAACGAGAAAGAAGUUAUUUUUUGUGCGCUUAUAUAUACAUGUUAAGCUUGGAUAUGUGUGGUUUGGUUUGUUUUAAUAAUAUGAUUGUGUGGUGUCAUCGGUAAUACUUUUUAAGGGUGCAAUCAAAUGAGUUUAUACCUUAUAGUGAAUUUGGUUAAUUUCAAGAUAUCAUUUUUUGGGAUCUUCGGCUUUGGUUGCUAAUACAAAAUUCCUCAAAUCUCGAUUGGAAUUUGGGAAUCCGUCCUAAAUGAUACAAGAUUUGAUAAAAGUUUCUCAUUCUGAUUUAUUAUUCGAGUUGAGAUUCAAGAUCUAAUUUUCUUCCAACUUAAUAUUCAAGACGGGAUUUGAGAUGUCUGAAAAUCUCAUUCGAGAUCCCUUAGGCAAUCAAAUGGGUCCAUAUAUCCUUAUAAUGAAUUUGGUUAAAUUCAAGAUACCCUUUUUUGGGAUCUCCCGCUCUAACUGUUAAUACGUGAACCUAGGCUGGCAAAAUUAUCCAGAUACCAAUCGAGAUACAAACCCUAUAUAAGAUUUGUUACAAAUUUCAUAUCCCAAUUUUCAAUGUAGGUCAGGAUUUAGGACCCCAUUUUAUACCGAUUCAUAAAUUUCUUUAUUUAGACAAUAACUGAUGACAUAUUAUUAGUUCAAAGCUCACGGAGUAAAGGUUGAAUUAUUGGUGCAAUCAUCCGCAAUUUUCUGCAAGCAUGCAACAUAUUAAACAAGAGAAUAUUUAAUUAUUUUUUGGGUUCUGUUAUUACAAUAAUGAUUUUGAAGAUAUUAGUUGGAGAAAAAUGGUUUUUUUAAGUCAUUUUCAAUCUUGAGAAAAAGUUUUCUUGCUGGCACACACUGUCUUUUAUCUAUAUUCUAGUCUUCCAUUAUGUUAAAAAAAAUAAAUAUGAAAAUAAAAAGAAAAUAGGACAUCAUCAAGUAUCAAUCAAAGAUCAAUUUGUUUUAUCCACUUUCAGGAAAGAAAAGGUAAAAGCAAUCCCACUGGGGACCAUAAAGUUUAUCUCAAAAGAAAAAGCACUACAAUAGUCGAACACAAAGAAGAGUAAUAAUGAGUAGAGCUGGCAAAACGGGUCAUCGGGUCGUGUUCGUGUCAUGUCAGCUUCGUAUCGUGUCAAAUUUAGGUCGACCCAAACCCGACCCAUUUAAUAAUCAUGUCAAAAUAUUGAGACCCAAACCCGACACGGAAAAAUAAUCGGGUAACCCAAUAACCCGUUUAAUAUCUAUAUAUUGAACAAAAGUUACAUCAAAUAUUUAUGCACUAUAGUACAUACGUAUGCACAUACAUACAUACAUAAUUUAUCGAUACUAUAAAAUAUACAUAUCUACGAAUAUAUUACACAUUUACACUAUUGAGGUUUUAAUUAUAUAUAUAUACAUAUACAUAUAUAUAUAUAUAUAUAUAUAUUAUAAAAUAUACAUGUCUAAAUGUAUUUAAAAUUUUAUAAAUAAAACACUGUGUUUAUAUUCACCCUUUUAAAGAAUAAAAAAAAAAUCAUCUCUAAUAUUUGAGUUUUAAUGAUAAGAAUAUGUAAAUUAUUUUAAAAUAGAAAAUAUAAUCGGAUCAUUGAUCGGGUAAAUGGGUCAAGAAUUUUAACCCUAACCCGACACGGAAAAAAAUAGUGUUGACCCGGACUCGACCCAUUUAAUAAUCGUGUUAAAUUUGACGACCCAUACCCAUUUAUUUAUGUCGUGUUCGUGUCGGGUAAUCGGGUCGUGUCAAAUUUUGCCAGCUCUAAUAAUGAGAAAGGAGUUGCAUAUAAGUUGAAGAUUUUUAUUUUUUUUUUAAAGAAGGGCCCGACAUCAUGAUGCUUUCAAUUAGCGAAGGAUAUAUGAAAAAGAGAUGAAUAUUGCACUUUAGAUUUGGAUAAUUCCGAUUGGAUUUUGAAUUGUUUGGAUUAGGAAAAAAAAAUCAUUCAAAUCCAACCUAAAUCUCAAAUACAAUCAAUUCGAUUCAAAAUAAAUAGAUAUUUCAGAUGAAUUUGGUUUUAGAUUGUUUAGUAUUUAAAUUCAAAUAGUAUUUUAAAUUCGGAUUGAAUUCGAAUUUAGGUCUUUUUGAUAAUUUUUACAAAACAAUCCUGAAUUCUAUAUAUAUAUGUAGAGUAGUUCAAUCCAAUCAGAUUGUUUAGAUUAAAACAUCCAAAUUCAAAUCAGAUCUAUUCGAAUCCAAUCCAAUGCACACCUUUAGCCCUAUUGAAUGAUCAUCUAACCAUUGAAACUAUAACGCAUUCUGUUGUAGUCUGUAGAGCGCUUGAAAAGAAAAUAUCUAAACAAUAGGGACUAUUAUGCAUUAGAUGCAUCAAUGAAUCAAAUUCUAAGGUGAUGCUUUUUUUCUUUAGACAAGCUUUAUGGUCCCAGUGGAAUUAUUUUUAAUCUUUCAGUCUUUUGAGAGGGCAAAAAAGAAACUAGUCUUGAUAGCUUAUUUUACUUUCUUCAUACAUAUACAUAUACAUAUAACACAAAUUAUAAGACACCCUUUUAUCUUCUUGCAUAAUUAAUAUUUUAUAUACACGUACAUUAUACCUCAGGUUUUGUGCAAAAAAUCAUUAUUGUACAUCAAUAAUUUCUCAAUAUAAUCCCUCUUUAUCAAUCAGUAUCCCCACGACAUCUACAGCAUUUAGUUUUAAGAUUCAUUUUCUAGUACUGCUCUGCCUUAAUCUGUUCUGCCUCAACAGCCACCUGAACUUGAUUCAACUUCUUGACAGAAGGAGGUAUUGGUGCCAUCCUCAGUUGAUUAUGUUGACUAAUGUUGAAUUAAAAGGAGAGCUUUUAACAAUUUUUUUUUAAUUAUUUUCUUUGCAUGCUAGGGCUACUGGCUACUGACUACCGAGAGUAAAGGAGAUAUGGACAUCAACCUUGGACUAUUUUCAGAGAGACUGAGAAGGGUGCUAGCUGCUGAAGAAUUCACGGUGCCCGAUGCUGCUGAACAACCUAUUCAGAACCUUUACACUGAGACUGAAAUCGUUGCUUCUUGGCUGAGGGACUCUGGAUACAACACUGCUUGGUUUAUGUAGCAAGUCAAUGCAGAAGAGGGUUAAACUCUGGCAAAAUUAGAAGAUUUUAAGGCUAUCAUUGACAAAAUUCAUUGUUUUUCAUACGUAUCUGAGAAUGUGAUUGACACAUUUGCUAUUAGCAUCACUCAACAGAAGAGUCAAAGCAGAUGCAGCAAGGACAUUUGUGAUGCUCUGCUAGGACUCCAAAGCAAAAUCAUUGAUAUAAAACAACGGAUGCAGCAAGUUCAGCACAUCCACUCCCGAAUCGUUGAUGAGCUCAAAUCGUUUGAACCAAAAGCCGGUAAUUUUCCUGCAUCCUUGUCUUUUAAGAAUAGGGACACGGUGGGUCUAGAUAAUAAAAUGGAGGAGUUAUUAGAUCUACUGACAGAGGGACCGCCUCAACUUUCGGUAGUGGCCAUACUCGAUAGCAUUGGAUUGGACAAGACGGCUUUUGCCGUAGAGGCUUACAGCAGCAACUAUGUGAAGUAUUAUUUUGAUUGUCACGCUUGGGUUGAAGAGUCUUUAUUGUAUGAUGCUGACCAAAUAUUAUACGACAUUAUUAAGUUUGUGAUGCCUUCAAGUAGGUUGAGUGAAAUUAUGGAAGAAAGUUCGGAAAUGAAAAAAAUUAUUCUUCAUGAAUAUCUAAUGACCAAGCGUUAUUUGAUUGUGCUUGAUAAUGUGUGGAGAAUAUCAGUAUGGGAUGUUAUUCGAGAAAUACUUCCCGAUAGUCAGAAUGGAAGUAGAGUAUUGAUAACACUCAGUCGAAUUGAGAUCGUCGCCUCAUUUCAGUUCGAAAAUGGAGAGAACAUUGGGCUUGAUUUUCUGCCCACUGGAGGACCAUUGAGAGUUACAUACCAAGGAUGGCCUUUCCACAUCUUAUAUCAUGAAAGCAUCUCACUGAAAGAAAAUAUAGAGGAAGCACUUGAUGAACCCCGGGGGCUUCAAGUCCUUGCAUAUUGUAUGUUAACUUUUUACUUGAAACUUUGUUGUCUCUACUUAUCUGUGUUUCCUGUACACUUUGAGAUAUCCACCAAGCAAUUAUAUCAGACGUGGAUAGCCUAAGGUUUCAUUCCAAACAACAAUGAGGCAACUGCCGAGAAAUACUUAGAACAGCUAAUCAAUGGAGGCUUUGUUAUCCUCAUUGAAGAAGCCAAGGGAUUUGUAUUUAUAUAUAAACAUUUAACCAUGCAUGAACAAGAAUUUUAAGGAUAGAGACUCUUUCCACACGCGUGUACGCGAGGGGAGGGGGGCAAAUCCAUGACCGAUUUGGUUGAACUUGUGUGCGCCCGCGAAUGUCAGCCCAAGCACGCAUGGCACGUGUUUUAUUUCCUUUUAAAUUUGUUGUAAUAGUUUCACACCUUUUGAAUUCAAAAGAUUUGUAAUAGCUUCGCAAUUAUUUUGGGCUGUUCUGCAAUUCAAUUUUUGAAUUGAAUUGUUUAAAAUUCAAUGGCUGUUACAGCAAUUAAAUUGCAUAUAUUGAAUUCUGAAAUUCAAUUUUUAUGCUAUUGUUACGUACCCACAUGAGUAUAAAAAGGCACCUUCUUCUUCUGUUUUUACACACACUGAAACCAGCACACAGAGCACUUACAAUUUUUCUUUCUUCCUUCUUUUGUCUUGUUUUCUGAUCGAGUUUACCGUUGUUGUAGUUCGCCGGAAUUAUCUGUCUGUGCUUGACAGAAAAUUCGUGCCCGUUGUAUCCUGGGAAACAGUUACCAGUAAACCUAAAGCACUUCAAUAGGUGGUAAAUCUGUUUUAAGGACACUGUAUUACAGGCCUCGAGUUUAUUUUCUUCAGUUGUUAUUUUUUUUCCUGUUGUUUAUAUCAGUUGUUGUUUUGCUGUAGUCAAAUUAGCUACUAGUUUAUUUGUUUAACUCACUGUGAUUAUUUUUUAUAACAUUGAAAUCGUCGCCUCAUUUCAGUUUAAAAAUGGAGAGAACAUUAGGCUUGAUUUGUGCCCACUGGAGGACCAUUGAGAGUUACAUACCAAGGAUGGCCUUUCCACAUCUUAUAUCAUGGAAGCAUCUCACUGAAAGAAAAUAUAAAGGAAGUACUUGAUGAACUCCGAGGGCUUCAAGUCGUUGCAUAUUGUAUGUUACAUUUUUACUUGAAACUUUGUUGUCUCUACUUAUCUGUGUUUAUUGUAUACUUUGAGAUAUCCACCAAGCAAUUAUAUCAGUUGUGGAUAGCUGAAGGUUUCAUUCCAGACAACAAUGAAGCAAUUGCUGAGAGAUACUUAGAACAGCUAAUCAAUGGAGGCUUUGUUGAUGUAGGGAAGAAAAGUGACAGAGGCAGAAUCAACACGUGCUCUAUUCCUGGGCGUUGCAGUCUUGCGUUGUUGACUGGGGCUUUCGAGGGGGAAUUUGUCAUUUCCCCAAUCAUGGAUCAGGAAGUUAAAUUACGAGAAAAUGUGAAACGCUUCACCGCUCAUGGAAAUUUGAAUGAUUUUGAAUUUUUAGAUCAUUUUGACUCGUUCCUCCAUUCUUUGUUGCACCUCACUUUAGGAAGCCACUACCUUGACCCCAAUUAUUGCGAGAAAAUCUGUAAAAUGUUCAACUUUCUUAGAGUAUUGGACUUGGGAUCUCUUGUUCUCAUCCGAUAUCCUUCCGAAGUCGAAAAUUUAUUUCUUUUGAGAUAUCUAAACUUGAAUAUCCCUUCCCUGAAAAGCCUUCUGUAACGCCACAAAUUUCCAUAAUAUUAAAUUAUAGAAAUUGGGCUUUCAUUGAUAAUUAUGGGUGGCCUAUAACCCUUAUUAAGAAAGGGAUACUAAAUUAUAAAUAGAGGUUAUUUAUGAGAUAGUUUUGAAAAAGGGUUAUUUUUCCUUAUUAAAUAGGGUUUCUUAAGAUUCCCUAUAAAUUCAUACUUUUCCUCUUCCAUAACCCUUAGUCCAUGACAUUUAUUCUUCUCCUCUGCUGCUCUUUACGCUCCUACCCAAAUCCUAGGAUUCAAACCUUUGUUUAGGACAGAAUCAAAGCAACGGGUAAGUUAUUCUCCUUAUUCUCAACAGAUUUCUAAUCACUCUAUCUAGGGUUUAUAUUGGCACGAUUCUAGAUGGUUAUAGAUCAUAAUGCAUGAUUUAGAAUGUAUUUAGGCUUUGUUUAGGGUUUUGAUUUAUUAUGAGUUUAGUUAAUCAAUUCUUGACGUACGUAUUAAGCACACAGGAUAAUUCUGAACAGCAUGAGUAUCUCGAAUUUAAACCUAUAUUUUCUGAAAGAGUUUUCUUAUGAAAUUUAUAUUUCUGGAAACUAGACAUGUAGGGCUUCUUGAGUAAAUUUUAUUUCUUUAAAUUCGACUUCGGUUUCAAUUUUAUAUGUAUUUUCGAAAUAGAAACCACUGCACUGGAAAACUACGAUUCCAGCAUUGCGAUCGGAUUCACAAGAUUAUUUGUACCACAAAUGAACUCAGAAAAUUCGGAAAGUUUAUAUGUAGGUUAAUAUAUGUGUUUAGGAUUCCCAGUUUUAAUUUCAUAAUUUUCUGAUUAUUAUUUUAUUUUAUAAAAAUCAAAGAACCCGUUCUGUUUGGUUUAGAUUAUGUGAAAACAGUUUCGAAUUUGCUGAGAAGCAAAUAGUUUUUAAAAUGUUUUUGAUGUCAGAUCCUCUUACCAAUUUUACAUGGGGUACUCAUGGAUGUCCAGAAUAGUUUCAUAGAAUAUUAUAUCAUUCUGAGUUUUAGAUUAAGAGUUAAAAUUCUGAGAAUCAGACCUGUACGGGUAUGAAUUAGAAAAUCAGAUUCCUAUAAUAAGUUAUUAAUUGUCAUAUCUUGUAUUUGUUUAAGGUAUUGAAGGUGAUUGAGGCUCUUAGAAGCUUAGAGGUGUGUUAAUUCAAAUUCAUUUGUCGAGGUAAAUAACUUCAUUCCUAAUGUACUGGAUAUGUAUAAGUAUUUUGAUAUUAUUAUUAUAAGUAUAAAUGUUGUUAUACUACUUAAAGGAUUAAUUGAUUUUGAUAACAAAAUUAGUUUUAUGUAAAUGUUUUCAAACCCAAAUUCUUUUUAACAAAGUAUUUUAUAAAUGUUUUUAAUAUGUAAAUGAUUUUAUGACAUGACAACCUUUUAUGAUUUUAUCUUUAAAAUGUUAUACAAGCCUAAAUUAUUGAUAUGAACUUUUAUGAAACUGAUACGAAUGUUUUGUACCUAUGUUUGAUUUCAAUUAUUGAUGAUUGUAUGAGAUUCUUAAUGUUUUGGCUCAUUGUCCAUAGUUAUUCUGAUUCUGAUUCUGAUUCUGAUCGUAAUAUACGAUAAAAUUUUGGAGAAACAAAAUUUCAUGAUAUACCAAAUUUUAUCUUGAUUCACACCAUCUUACCAUCCACCUUAUGAAUAACACAUCAUUUAAAAAAAAUUAGGAUAAAAUCACUCGGGAUAAAAAAAGCAGAAUAACAUUUGAGAUGUCUAGUUUUUAAUUAAGUCUGUGUAUGUGUAUGCUGAAGAAAAAAAUUAUGAUCAGAAUCAGAAUUGGAUGUUCGAGCUGUGGUUUCGGUAAUGGGGUGAAUUGGCAUUUUGAUAACAAAAAAAUUAGGUUUCUUUUAAUACAAUUUUACAAAUUUUGUUUAAUCUAAAUCAAACAUAGGUACAAAACAUUCGUAUCAGUUUCAUAAAAGUUCAUAUCAAUAAUUUAGGCUUGUAUAACAUUUUAAAGAUAAAAUCAUAAAAGGUUGUCAUGUCAUAAAAUCAUUUACAUAUUAAAAACAUUUAUAAAAUACUUUGUUAAAAAGAAUUUGGGUUUGAAAACAUUUACAUAAAACUAAUUUUGUUAUCAAAAUCAAUUAAUCCUUUAAGUAGUAUAACAACAUUUAUACUUAUAAUAAUAAUAUCAAAAUACUUAUACAUAUCCAGUACAUUAGGAAUGAAGUUAUUUACCUCGACAAAUGAAUUUGAAUUAACACACCUCUAAGCUUCUAAGAGCCUCAAUCACCUUCAUACCUUAACAAAUACAGAUAUGACAAUUAAUAACUUAUUAUAGGGAUCUGAUUUUCUAAUUCAUACCCGUACAGGUCUGAUUCUCAGAAUUUAACUCUAAUCUAAAACUCAGAAUGNNNNNNNNNNNNNNNNNNNNNNNNNNNNNNNNNNNNNNNNNNNNNNNNNNNNNNNNNNNNNNNNNNNNNNNNNNNNNNNNNNNNNNNNNNNNNNNNNNNNNNNNNNNNNNNNNNNNNNNNNNNNNNNNNNNNNNNNNNNNNNNNNNNNNNNNNNNNNNNNNNNNNNNNNNNNNNNNNNNNNNNNNNNNNNNNNNNNNNNNNNNNNNNNNNNNNNNNNNNNNNNNNNNNNNNNNNNNNNNNNNNNNNNNNNNNNNNNNNNNNNNNNNNNNNNNNNNNNNNNNNNNNNNNNNNNNNNNNNNNNNNNNNNNNNNNNNNNNNNNNNNNNNNNNNNNNNNNNNNNNNNNNNNNNNNNNNNNNNNNNNNNNNNNNNNNNNNNNNNNNNNNNNNNNNNNNNNNNNNNNNNNNNNNNNNNNNNNNNNNNNNNNNNNNNNNNNNNNNNNNNNNNNNNNNNNNNNNNNNNNNNNNNNNNNNNNNNNNNNNNNNNNNNNNNNNNNNNNNNNNNNNNNNNNNNCAAGAAUUGAUUAACUAAACUCAUAAUAAAUCAAAACCCUAAACAAAGCCUAAAUACAUUCUAAAUCAUGCAUUAUGAUCUAUAACCAUCUAGAAUUGUGCCAAUAUAAACCCUAGAUAGAGUGAUUAGAAAUCUGUUGAGAAUAAGGAGAAUAACUUACCCGUUGCUUUGAUUCUGUCCUAAACAAAGGUUUGAAUCCUAGGAUUUGGGUAGGAGCGUAAAGAGCAGCAGAGAAGAAGAAUAAACGUCGUGGACUAAGGGUUAUGGAAGAGGAAAAGUAUGAAUUUAUAGGGAAUCUUAAGAAACCCUAUUUAAUAAGGAAAAAUAACCCUUUUUCAAAACUAUCUCAUAAAUAACCUCUAUUUAUAAUUUAGUAUCCCUUUUUUAAUAAGGGUUAUAGGCCACCCAUAAUUAUCAAUGAAAGCCCAAUUUCCAUAAUUUAAUAUUAUGGAAAUUUGUGGCGUUACAAAUUUCCUCCAAGUCUAGCCCACUUGAGUUUUUCAAAUAUUGAGCUAAUGGAUGAUCCCAUGCCGGCACUAGAAAAGGCUGGCGGUUCUUCAGGUGCUCAAACUAAAGCAAAACUCGUAUUCAGGUAGAUAGUUGGCUUGUAGCUCUGAUGGCUUUCCAAAACUCAAGGUGCUGCACCUUAAGUCAAUGUUAUGACUAGAGGAAUGGACUAUGGGGAUUAGAGCCAUGCCGAAACUAGAAUUCUUAAUCAUCAACCCUUGUGCUCACUUGAAAAGGAUUCCUGAACAGCUUUAGUGCCUAAAGAGCUUAAACAAAUUGGAGUUGUAGUGGCCUGAGCCGGAGCUAAGACAACAGCUACGGGAAUUCGAGGAUAAGGAGCAGUAUGGCAUUCAGCUAUAUCCAUAUGGAAUUUGAUUAGCGUGGAUCGAAUUUGAUGUAAGUUUUUUUUCCUUUUUAUCCAAUAACUUCAACCUCUAAUUAUUUAUCUAAUUUCAGGUAAACAUCUAUUCUCUAUGAUUGAUUCGAUAGUACGCAGCAGCCUAAAUAAUAAUGAUACCAUAAAGUGUUUUCAAUCUAAUUUUUGUCUCAACAAAGACUUGGAAGUGUCCAUCAUAUUCCCUGAUACUGACACUAAUCAUUAAUCGCUUAUUAAUAGAAGAGGCAGAACCCUUAUGUAUUGGUUGUUGAAAUAAUCAAGAAAAACUGUAAAAUAAGAUAUGCAAUUACUUGUAUGUGUAGGUCAAAGCAGAGCGGAAAAUAUCUUAACUGUACUGCAGCCAAAGUUUCAAUUUCAAUAAGAAUCCAGCCUUCACUGAAAUUGUGUGGUUUCUUUUUUUUUUUUUUGAUAAGAAUUGUAUGGUUUCUUUGUUUUCACGGAUUAGUAAUUUGUACAAAAGUUUUAUUGAUUGUUUUACUUUCUAUUUUCCCAUUCACUGGUGUGUAUUCAAUUUGUCAACAUUGAAGUUGCAUAUAUGUUAUUGUUUUUUAUUUUAUUUUAUUUUUCUAGUUUUUUAGUAGUGGUACAGUUCAAUCUCAUUACUUUAGUUAAACGAAAAAUGUUUGUGCUGUGAUCACACCUCAUUAUCUUAAAACUGACAGAACGAUAUUGUCAUUCGGUUUUUUAGAAUUUCGCCGACGUGUCGUCCAAUGUAAGGGCGACAAUGCUGGUCAAAAGUCAGUUGGGGUUCGUUAAAAUAGAGCAUGGAAAUUUCGGGUUUGUUGGAAAUAACCUUUAUUGUAGUUUAUAACGCUGGUUGUUGGGUCAUCUUCACAGGUCUCAUCAAAGCCAUAGAAAGAGAAAGAGUUAAAGAGAAAAAGUUGCAUAUUCUUGGAAUGAUUGUGAAAUGGUCCUUGUUCUUCAGUGGAUGUAGGCACUUUGAUUCAAUUUUGAGUUUCGGUUUCCGGAAUGAUUCUUGAUACGUCAAAGAGGGUCUUAGGUGUGUGAUCUUGGUACUAACAGAGGAUUAAACACAACAAAAAAGAAACUGUGGCAUAUUGUCUAAUCUUCAUAGACUCCAAAUAUAUGGAGAUUUUAGCCCUCGUCAAUCUGGGUUGUCCAACAGCCCUUGUAAAAUCAAAAACCAUCACUAAUCCUUGGUGACUUUAGGGAUCUAGUAAGGACUAGGUAGAAUUGAAGAGGAGAUUUAACGAGUGAAGUUCUGAAAGUGGAAGAUUUAAAAUUUAAUCUGUAGCGUUGCAGAUUUUGGAAUCUUCGUUAGAAUUGAUGACUGAAUUCUUUCUCUAUUGGUUGAUUAGCAGCCCAAUUGCACUAAAAGAAUAAAGAGCAGCUAUAAUCGUUUUCACAUUUUCCCUUCCAGCAUCCAGAGGGUGCCUUGUAAUGCAGUGCAAUGAAGUUGAUGGCGAGAGGAUGUGCUGCUGCUCACUCAAUUCCUUACAGUCACAUCAAAGCCCUUGUUUGCAGCAGAGGAAUUCCCUUUUGUAUUCAAAUUGAUCCUUCUGCUUUGGUUGUCAUUGGAUUCUUACCACUCUUUAGCCAGUAACAUAAUGUUGAGUUUAUUGAUUUUGCUAUCUUAAGAAUGUCCAAGACAUCUUGUAAUCAUGAUAUAUUGUCAUUUUAUUUUGAGACAAAUGACUUUUUUCCCAGUUAGCAAAUGCAUAUUGCUUUCAUUUUUUGGAUUGGAAAAACAAAAAUUGGAAGAAGAAAAAUGAAAAUUAAUAAACAAAAAAAAGAUUACAGGACAUCAGCAUCAUGUUCUUUUCUUUGAACUAAGUCUUUGUUUAACCUUUCUCCUUUUCCAUUUUGUGAGUUUGGUAUCUCUUUCUUUACUUGAACCAAGAUUUUUCCUUUACUUACAAGUAAAGUUUAACUAAUCUUGAUCUUUUAUUUUUCUCUGAACUUAUUUUUCUUUCACAUGCACGAUCAUUUUCAAUUCUAACAAAUCAUUCAUCUAUCAAUACCCAAUUUGAAUAAAAUUCAGCAUUCCUUUCUAUCAAUACCCAAUUUGAAUAAAAUUCAGCAUUCCUUUUCCUAUUCUUUCUAUGUAAUAAUUUGAUUGUGUUGUUUUUAAUCAAAAUAAGAUAUAUAUCGUCAGGAUAUUGAAGUUUGUGAUCACUUUAAGAAAAAACAGGUAGUUUAAUAUCUGAAUUAUCCACAAAAUAACUCCAUUUUAUUAUUUUUAUAUCAUGAAUGUGAGGUUCAUGAUUUAUUUGUGUUUGAUUCUUGUUUACAAGUUAUGUUUUUCCUCACACGUUUCAUAUGAUCACAAAUCAAAUAAAAAGGGGGAAAUUAAAAAAAAAAAGAUUGAAAGCUUGCUUAUUUUGAGUACAAGCACAAUCUUGCUCAUUUCCAGGACGAAAUUUAUUAUGUUACAUUUAGAAAUGCGUUAAGAGAUUAAUUUGUCACAUGAUGGUUUCUAGGUAGAAUCUUUCCAAGCUAAUUUGCAUUUUAUAAAAAUUUUCUUUCUAUUCGUUUUACGUAACGAUUAGUCAACAAUCUUGGUUUGAGAAUGCAUACUCAACAUGAGGAUAUAAGAUUCAUUUCCGGCACUCUGCCUUUCAUCUCUUGUAAUUUGACUGUCAGCAAUCUUGAUUUAACUUUUUGAAUGGCAACACUCGGCAGGAUUAAUUAGAGAAGGAGGUAUCAGGCAUAGGGUUCUGAGUAGAGUUUCAUCAACAAUUAAUGCUAGUUAAUGUUUGAAUUGAGAGACAUGGAAAUUUCUUAUUAUUAUUUUUUUAAUCUUUUAAUCAUUGUCUCUCUCAAUUAUGUCUCAAUUUGCAUGUUAGGACCACUAGGCACAGAGAGAGGAGGAGAUAUGGACAUCAACUUCAGACUAUUUUCCGAGAGGCUGGGACGGGUGUUAGCUGGUGAAGAAGUCACGUUGCCUGAUGCUGCAAAACAACCUAUUCAGAACCUUCAUGCGGAGGUUGAAAUCGUUACUUCUUGGCUGAGUGAAUUUGAAGAUGAUAUCUCUUGCCUUUUGAUGCAAAAAAUAGGAGAAGUUGAAAUUGACAACCCAGAUCUUGGGACCGUUAUGGAUGAAAUCAAUUGCUUUACUUAUGAAUCUGAGAAGUUCAUUGACACAUUCAUCAACAGCAUUACUCAACAGAAGAGACAAAGCAGGCGUAGCAAGGACAUUUGUGAUGCUCUGCUAGGACUCCAAAGCAAAAUCAUUGAUAUAAAACAACGGAUGCAACAAGUUCAGCACUUCGAUUCCGGAAUCAUUGAUGAAGUCAAAUCAAUUGAAGCUGAAGCCGGUAAUUUUCUUGCAUCUUCAUCGUCUAAGAAUAGGGACACGGUGGGUCUAGAUGAUAGAAUGGAGGAUUUGUUAGAUCUAUUGAUAGAAGGACCACAUCAACUUUUAGCAGUGGCCAUACUUGAUAGCAUUGGAUUGGACAAGACGGCUUUCGUCGCAGAAGCUUACAGCAGCAACUAUGUGAAGCAUUAUUUUGAUUGUCACGCUUGGGUUCCAGAGCCUCACAGCUAUGAUGCUCACCGAAUAUUAGAUAUCAUUAUUAAGUUUCUAAUGCCUUCAUCUAGACUGAGUGAAAUAAAGGAUAAAAAUUAUGAAAUAAAAAAAAUAUUCCUCGUGAAUAUCUAAUGACCAAGCGGUAUUUGAUUAUUUUUUUAUCAUGUGUGGAGAAUAUCAGCAUGGGAUGUUAUUCGAAAAAUACUUCCCGAUAAUCAGAAUGGAAGUAGAGUAUUAAUAACACUCGCUCAAAUUAAGAUUGUCACCUCAUUUCAGUUCGAAAACGGAGAGAACAUUGGGCUUGAUUUUGUGCCCACUGGAGGACUAUUGAGAGCUACAUACCAAGGAUGGCCUUUCCACAUCUUGUAUCAUGGAAGCAUCUCAUUGGAAGAAAAUAUAGACAAAGUAUUGACCAUGUCCCUUGGGCUUCAAUGUAUCAUAUAUUGUAUGUCACCUUUUUGCUUGAAACCUUGUUUUCUCUACUUCUCAGUGUUUCCCGCACACUUAGAGAUAUCCACCAGGCAUGUAUAUCAACUGUGGAUAGCUGAAGGUUUCAUUGAAGACAAUAAUGAGGCAACUGCUAAGAAGUACUUAGAGCAACUAAUCAACAGAGGCUUUGUCGAAGCAAAUAAGAGAAGAGCUGGAGGCACAAUCAACACAUGCUCUAUUCCCGGUCGUUGCCGUCCUGUAUUGUUAGGAGUGGCUUCCAAGGUGGAAUUUAUCUUUUCCCCUUUCAUGGAUAUAGAAGGUAAAUCAUAAAAAAAUGUCAAACGUUUCUACACUUUAGAACAACAGAGUGAUUUUGCUUGCUUAGAUGAUUAUGACUCGCAACUGCAUUCUUUCUUGUGCUGCUCUCCAGAAAGCCGCCACAUUGACCCCAUAGAUUGGGAGAAAAUUUGUGGAAUGUUCAAACUUCUCAGAGUGUUGGACUUGGAAUCUCUUGUUCUCAUCUAGUAUCCAUCCGGAAUUGAAAAUUUAUUUCUUUUGAGAUAUUUGAAGUUGAAUAUCCCUUCCCUCAAAAGCCUGUCUUCCUCAUUAUUAAGCAAUCUUCUGAACCUCUACACCCUAGACAUGCCCUUUAGCUAUAUAGAUCAUACGGCAGAUGAAUUUUGGAAGAUGAAAAAACUCAGACAUCUAAAUUUUGGGUCAAUCACACUUCCUGCGCAUCCAGGAAAAUACUGUGGCUCUCUGGAAAAUCUAAAUUUCAUUUCAGCCUUGCACAUUUGCUGCUGUAUUGAAGAUAUAUUAGGCAGGCUACUUAAUCUUCAAAAUCUCUGAAUGCGGGGAGAUUUAAGUUAUGAUCAAUCUUUGCUGUCUCAAAGUCUCUGCAGAUUGAGCUGUCUCAAGUCAUUGAAGCUGGCGAAUGAAAGCAAGAUGCCAUGGCUCUCCAAAAUCGUCCUUGCUGAAUACCUAUUUCCUCAUAGUCUAACCCACUUGAGUUUUUCUAAUACUGACCGAAUGGAUGAUCCCAUGCCGGUGCUAGAAACGUUGCCGCUUCUUCAAGUGCUCAAACUGAAGCAAAACUCGUAUUCAUACAGAAAGCUGACUUCUGGACUAUGGGGAAUGCAGCCAUGCCAAAACUAGAAUGCUUGAUUAUCAACCCUUGUGCUUACUUGAAAAAGAUGCCUGAACAUCUCUGGUGCAUAAAGAGCUUAAACAAGUUCGAUUGCUGGUGGCCUCAACCAGAGCUGAGACAAAAGCUACGGGAAUUUGAGGAUAAGGAACAGUGUGGCAUUCAACUAUAUCCUUAUGGAAUUUUUUUUUAUUACAUGAGACUAUUGCUCAAACUACAACUCAUAUUACAUGAGGUUAUAACUGAUAUUUAUAAAUCAGACUAUUACUGGGACCAACUUACAUCAAUGCUAAUGGAGCUCUACCCAAAUUUUAACCCUCACAAAUAUUCGAGGAAUGUCUACUCCUCACUCUUGGGUAAGAAGGAAGACUACCUUCACUCAAUUUUUAAUGAAGGAAGGAAAUACCCCCACAAUGCAUUUGUGGGGGUUCGAACUGCUGCCCUCCAACUUGGAGGGCAGCAACUCUAACCACUCGGCCUUUGGCCGAGUGGCUAUCCUUACGGAAUUUGAUUAGCCCCUAUUGAACUUGAUGUAUGUUUCUCAUUUUACACAAUUUCUUCAAAUUUUAAUUAUUUAUCCAAUUUCAUAUAUUUUUUCCCCUUUUCUUCAAUACAAAAAUGGUUAUACAAAUUGUUUUCUUCUAAUUUGCCUCAACAUUAAAUACCCUUUAGAGUUUCUAAUGCUCACCCCAAUCAUCAACCCUCUUCAAUACAUCGAUGUUCAUUUGUUUUAGUAGUUAAGAAAAAAAAUAUAUAAUUUAGAUUUCUUAUUUUUCACAAUUUCUUCAAUGACUUGUGUAGGUGAAAUUAGAGCAAAAAUGUCAAGACCCAACCCAGACCUGGCAAGAUAUUGUCCGCUUUACGCCCAUACACCCCAAGAACAAAUCCGUGCGGGCCUUGUUAAGGCCCAAAGCGAACAAUAUCUUGCCAGGUCUGGGUUGGGUCUUGACAUUAUGGUAUCAGAGUGGCUUCGCGUGUCCACUUGUGCGAUGGUGGGGCAAACCUCAGCGAGGACGCUGAGUCCCCAAGGAGGGGUGUAUGUAACACCCUAGGCAAAUCCCAAAUCGGCAAAGCACGGGAGAGAUGAUGAGUUUAUAAGGGGUGAUCCACACCUUAAUUGGCAAGACACGUUUUGGGGUGUAUGGGCGCCCCAAGAACAAAUCCGUGCGGGCCUUGUUAAGGCCCAAAGCGGACAAUAUCUUGCCAGGUCUGGGUUGGGUCUUGACAUUAUGGUAUCAGAGCGGCUCCACGUGUACUCUUGAGCGAUGGUGGGGCAAACCUCGGCGAGGACGCUGAGUCCCCAAGGGGGUGUGUAUGUAACACCCUAGGCGAAUCCCACAUCGACAAAGCACGGGAGAGAUACUGGGUUUAUAAGGGGUGAUCCACACAUUAAUUGGCAAGAUGCGUUUUGGGGUGUAUGAGCACCCCAAGAACAAAUCUGUGCAGGCCUUGUUAAGGCCCAAAGCGGACAAUAUCUUGCCAGGUCUGGGUUGGGUCUUGACAUUAUGGUAUCAAAGCGGCUCCGCAUGUCCUCUCAAGCGAUGGUGGGGCAAACCUCAGCGAGGACGCUGAGUCCCCAAGGGGAGGUGUAUGUAACACCCUAGGCAAAUCCCACAUCGGCAAAGCACGGGAGCGAUGUUGGGUUUAUAAGGGGUGAUCCACACCUUAAUUGGCAAGACGGGUUUUGGGGUGUAUGGGCGCCCUAAGAAAAAAUUCGUGACAAGAAAACAUCAUGACUGUAGCCCGAGCUUCAAUUUCAACCAGAACCUUUCCGUCUUCACAUUUGCUGUCUACACAAAUAAGUCUUGAUCCUACAGUGGUGGACUUUUUUUGGUUUCUUUGUUUCCGCUGUCUAUUCAUAAAUAAGAAGUUUUGUUUUGGCUUUUCAGUUGAUAGUUCAUUGAUUUGUGCUUCGGCCAUGGUUUCGUUAAUUGUGUACAAAAAAUAAUUACUAUUUGUGAUGCUUGCUAGUGUUUGGGUUGAGUUGAAUGUAUUUUCUGUCUUUGUUCUGUUGCUUGCUCUGAAAUCCUGUUUCAAAGGAUGGGCAAGUCUGGCACUCAAUAGGUUCCGUUUAUUUCCAGAAAAGAUUAAUUAUUGAUGAACUUCACACUUGGCUGAAUGUCUUAGUAAACGUUCUUGUGGAGAAAUCCUAAUACCCGCUUAGGCAAUACAAUGAGGCAGAAAUACUAAUACUGCUGUACAUGUGUUGAUUGAUUAACAGCUUUGUUCUCUGAUAUUCUUUCUUUAUCUGUUGCAGAAAUUCCUUCAAUAUGAUUGAUAGUUGCUACUAAUUAUAGAAGCAUCCCUCCUUUGGCUCAUUCAAUGGAAUAUGAAAGACAGAUUACUGAGACAAAGUCACGCUUCAUUACCUUCCCAAAGAAAGUUGAAGUUUGGGCUGCGUACUUGGGAGUGGAAUGAAGAGCGGCAGCAAAAUGAUUACAAGGAUUGCCAUUUACAGGGGCACUUUUGUGACUACUGAUGUGUCCCUCUAAUGGUUCAAUAAAUUGAAACCACGUCUAGUAAAAGCUAGAAAAACGCCGUGUUAUAGUAAGCAUCGACUUUCAAUAAUAGAAUUUUGUGUGCAAGUGUGAAGUUCAUCAAUAAUCAAUCUUUAUAACUAUUGCCUACGGUAUAAAAAUAUUUAUAAAAGAGCAAGUAAUUGCAAUCCCUCGUUCAAAUUUAUAACAAAUCAACUAUAAAAAUAUUCAGAGCAAAAUUCAAGAUUAAAUUAUGUUCUAUAUUGGAUCACACGUUAAAAUAGUUAUCAAGAUAUGCAUGUAUAUAAUUAAAUAAAUGUAGAAAUUUAAUUUGGUUUGUUAGCAUUCCAUUAAGAAUAAAUUUAAACAAUUAACUAAUUAAAUCCUCGUUGAAUAAUUAUUAAGCUUCAUUUAAACUAAUAAAAUAUGUUUGUGAUAUGAUAUCUCAUAACAAAUUAACUAACGACUUUGAAAUUUAUGCUAUCUAUCUCAUGAAAUUUAUCAAACUCAUACUUGAUUCUUAGAUCAAGUUACAAAAAUCGUGUGAGGUGAAUCAGUAGAUUAAGGGCUAGCUCAAGUGAAGCUUUGAGGCAGCAGAAUCAACACAUGCCACAUUUUAAUAUUGUCAUUAUUAUUAGCAGUGUAUCAAAUUUGAAAAGUAAUUCCAGUUGUCUUUGUUUCAGCUGUGUACUCAUUAAGUAAGAGAUUUCAUUUCAGCAGAGAGUUGACUGUGUAUAAAAAUAAAGAAUGUUUGUGAUGCUUUCUAGUCUUGGAUUAAGUGGGAUUAAUGUAUUUUCUAUAAAAACUGAUCAAAAAUUUCCUCCCAUGGAUGCAAGCUAAUGCAAAUUAGUUGAACCACGUUGAAUUGAUUUUUCCUCUGUUGGUUCUUUCAAUUCUUUAAUUCAAUUUGAUCUUAAUUGCUUUUUGUUCUUUCAUCAUUAUCUUGUUUCAAUUCCAUUUUCAAUUGAGCUUCAAAUUAGUUCAUUCUUGGUAGCAUCUUGAUUGAUUGGAUUGUGAUAUUGGGCAGCAACUGAGGUAUCUCUGGUUUUAAGCACUCCAGUUGCUACAGUUAGGCACUCAAUCAAUAUGCUUUGUUCAUUUACAGAAGAGAUUUGAUUAUUGAUGAACUUCAUACUUGCCUGACUCUGUAAAGAAAUUGUAUGAAUCAAUAAUUUAUCAAUGAGUAACGUUACAAUUUAUACAAGUCAAGCAUACUUGGAUGAUAAGCCAAACACUAUAAGAUAAGUCAUAGCCUAUAAGAUAAAUACAAGCUAAGCCAUAGCCUAUAUGAUAAUUACAAGAUAACGGUAAAGAGAUAUAAGAUAAGAUUACAAGUUAUUGAAACAGAGAGUAGUUAUCUAUGUACAUGUUUGGCUAAUACUCUGAUCCCGUGUAGUGGGUUGGGAGGAUUACAUGGAGAUGCUAUUAAAGCUAAGGCAUAAGGCAGAGAUUAACAAACACAAUGAUUAGCAGUAGGUCGUUAUUAAAUAUUAUUUAACGUGAGGAACAAGAUUUUCAGCCUCGCUUCAUAGUGCUAACUACUUCGACUUUGUCUGUUACUUGGAAACUUUGGUGCCUUCCAUGACAAUCAUUUUGUGGCAGCACAGUGAACGAUUCUGUUGCUUUUGCUUUCAAUGAACAGGGCUACCUUACCAGAUAGGGUUACCAUUUUAUUAAUUGCAAGUGGUAGCUUAUUUAUUCAUUACUUUUGUCUUCUGUGAAUAUAAAUCACUGACUAUGUAAUCAUAAUAAUUUUUUAAUAAGGAGUAUGAUGAAAAUUAAAGACAAAUAGUGAUUUUGUAAUUAUUUAUUAUGCUCCAAGUCAAUAGAUAUCACAUCAACCCCCAAUAUUUUCUUUGCAACUACUUUCUUAUUGUACCCAUUAUCAAAAUUCUAUAAUAAAUGUGUAGGAGAAACUACUGACUAAACUAACAUGCUUGCACUACUGGAGUACUGAGAGAAAGAGUUGUGUAGGUCAACCUAAGACCAGUUUCAUUCAUCAACAAUAAAUGUUUCAGUGGAUACAUAAAACUUUUUGCACGCCAGUAAGUGGUAGACGUGAUUUUGCAUUUUUCCACAGCUUAAAUUACUAAAGAUCUUGCUCUGUUCUUUUCUUUUCAAAUAGGCCUUAUGGUCCCGGUGGAAUUGUUUUGACCUUUUCUUUCUUGAAAGUGGAUGUAUAAUACAUAUUGGUCUUGAUUGAUCCUUGAUCAAGACCUAUUUAUUCUCUUAUGCUUUAUUCUUUUUACAACAUAUGGAGAACAGUGUAUUGUAAGAUUCAUUUACCGUAGUCCUCUGCCUUGAUCUGUUCUAAUUUGAGAGUCAACAAUCUCAAUUCAAUUUCUUGAAUGGAGUACUAGCUAAGAGAACGGAGGUAGGGGAGGUUUAAAGCAAAGUUUCUUUCCAACUCUCUGUUUUUAACUAUUUCUUUGCAUGCUACAGGACUGAUUACAGGGUGGUACCGAGAGAGGAGGAGAUAUGGACAUCAACUUCAUGCUAUUUUCCGAGAGGCUGGGACGGGUGUUAGCUGGUGAAGAAGUCACGUUGCUUGAUGCUGCAAAACAACAUAUUCAGAACCUUCAUGCCGAGACUGAAAUCGUUACUUCUUGGCUGAGGGAAUUUGAAGAUGAUAUCUCCUGCCUUCUGAUGCAAAAAAUAGGAGAAGUUGAAAUUGAUGACCCUGAUCUCGGGAACAUUAUGGAUGAAAUCAAUUGCUUUACGUAUGAAUCUGAGAAGGUGAUUAACACAUUCAUCAACAGCAUCAGUGAACA